CUCUCUCUCUCUCUCUCUCUCUCUCUCUCUCUCUCUCUCUCGCCCUCUCCCUCUCCCUCUCCCAAUGCAGCCGGCUCUAAGUUGGGGCCUCAUUAAUUAGGAGGCCUGCCUGGUAGGUGGAGCCGGCUUGAAUUAGAAUGCUUAAUGCGCUUGUCAUUUUCUGCGGCGCGAUUUGCUUGGACAUAUAUAUUUUAAAAUUACAUUAUCACCCGGCUUUAUUGCAUCAGGAUAAUACAGUCUGAUGAAAAAACAUCCGCCCUCAAAACACCGAUUUUCCGGUCCCUCCUCUCGCCUUCACGACGCUAACGGUGAUUUCCUCGAAUCUUUAUUUUCUCUCCUUAUUUCUGUGAUUAUAUUGCUCAUUAUUUGUACGUUAAGUCCGAAGCAGUUUGCGCCGCUUGGGAGGGACGCUGGGCCAAGCUUCGGGAAGGAGGCACCUAGGGAAGGACGAAUGGAAGUCAGACAUCAUGAGGCCCUUCCGGAUAUGUUGUGGGGAGACCUGGAGCCAGGAAGGCAGGGGCGACUCUUCCCGGGAGAGAUAGCAGGCAGGAUAACCCAAAUUGCCGUUGGUCUGUGCUCCUAACCCACAGCAGGGGACAUUACUGAGGGUUUAAAUGUGCCAAAGAUCUCUCCAGAAAAGACGCAAUCCCCACUCCCCGGCUCCACAAUGGAACCUUUAGGAAUGCUCCUGAUCUGGAUGUGUCUGUCCACAUCCCAGUCCAUGAUCUUACCUGCCUUGGAAGAGCUUUACAAAUACCUGCUAUUAGAAGAUGAGAGCAAUGACAGACCUUCCUGGAGUCAGGAGACUGGCCCGAAUGGACCUCUUUAGAGGUUCUUUCAGUCGGGAGUUGCAGGUGCUGAAAAUGAGUCCAGUGACCGAGCCUAUAGGCACUUAGUAGGUUCUUAAUAAAUGCUCAUUGAAUUACAUUUUUACACCAACCUGGCAAUGUCAUUGUCAGGCAUGGGCAGUUCUGGGUCCUUGGGGAUGGAGAAUGCCCAGCCCAGAGUAAAAGCUGGGGCGGGGCUAGAGUCUGGGCGGAGCUCCUAGUAGCCCUCCCUCGAGGCCCGGAGCCUUCCCAGGGCUCCACCGACGCAGUCCCGGCACGGCCCGCCCGGCUCUCCACCAGCCCCAUUACGCUGUAUUUAUGCUUCGCUUUAUUGUUUUUUUUUUAUCUUCCUAUUAUUGUCUCACUCUGGGGGAGGCAAAGGAUAUAAUAUAUUCAUCUUUAUUAUCCCAAA